GAUGAUAAACUUGCUGACGAUCCCUGAGCUUGAAGCUUGAUUUGAUUUUUUUUUUGAUCUAUAAACAGAUAGACGUAAACAAACAAAGUAAGCUUACAUAGCUUAGUAAGUCUAUGGCACAACUAAAAUAUAUAUAAAAGAAGAAUAAUAUAAAUUCAUAAUUAAACUUAUUGAAAUCGUGAAUACGACAUAUAUUACUAUUUGAAUAUUUGUUACUCAUAAUCAUCUUAUUUAUAAUCAAAUAUAUGUACUCGUAGAAUGCUUACCAAUGAAUAUAUAAAUAUGUAUAUACAAUAUGCAUAACAAUUGUAUAUUUAAAUACUCAUCAAAAACUUACAACCGAAUACUUUUAUAUAUCAUUUACAUAUAAGCAAAUGCAUACAUCAUUAUCAAAUACCUAAAACCGAAUGCAUAUACACUUUAUAUGUGUGUAGCCGAACGCAUAUUUAUGUACUUAACAAAUUAUAUAACCGAAUAUAUAUAUACAUACACAUCAAACGAAUAUAACCAAAUACAUUUAUACUUACCAAAAUGCAUGUAUAGAUUUCUCACAUACAUCUAUCUGAAUGCGAAUAUACCUAACAAUUUCAUAAAAUUUAAUAUAUAUAUAUAAAUCCAUACUCAUCAAAUACAUAUAAACUAAUGUUUAUAUGCUCAUCAAACACAAUGACCAAAUGUAUAUACAUAUUCUAUAAAUCCAUAUGACUAAAUCAUACACAUAUUCGAUACAUGUAAACACAUGAUAUGAAUAGAUUCACCGGCACAAAACAGGCCUGAUUCAAUACACUGGCACUUAGCCUGCUAGAAAUAAAGUCUGAAAUGUUUCACCGGCGUCAAGCCUGCUAGACUUAAAGUCUGAAAUGUUUCACCGGCAUCAAGCCUGCUAGACUUAAAGUCUGAAACAUAUCACUAGCAUCAAGCCUGCUAGGCACCGAGCCUGAACACUCAAUUUAUAUAAAUACAAAUCACUUUAAAAAUGUAUAUGUAUAUAAGAUUCCAUGUAUAAAAAUUUAGCUCAAUAUAUAUAAAUUAUACCUUUAAACCAUAUAGGUAUAUAAAGUUCAGAUAUUGAAUCCAGCUCAAUAACUUAAUUAUACAUAUGAUCAUAUACAGAUAUAUAACUUAAUACAUUAAGGCCUACUAUUAAUAUCAUACAUUCGAACAUCUUAUAGUAAUCCAAGCUAACAAUUUUGUACCUUCAACUCCAUUCAAAAGCUUCACAUGAAUAUAAUUACAUAAUUGAAUCUCACAUAAACUUAUAUAAUUAUCAUACCUAAAUUCAAUACAUAAACAUGUACAUAUAUAAGUUGGUAUAUAUUCGAGUCUCAUACAUACUUUAUAUAAUAGUCAUACCUAAAUUUAACACAAAAACAUAUUCAAUUAUAUUGUAUUUCCGAACUUCAUAUAAACUUAUAUAAAAAUUAUACCCAAACUCAAUACAAAAACAUAUACAUGUAAAUAUAUAUUUAUGUGCUCAUUCAAUUCUAUCAUAUACAUAUAAAUGUCAACUCACAUGUACAUACCAUUUCAAAAUUACUUACGCAAAUAUAACAUAUAUAUUUUUAAUCAAUCCAAUAGUUUGUACAUAUAUGUACUUACAUAUAUAUAUACAUUCGAACCUUAUAUAUAUAUACUAUACAUACCUUUAGAUUAAUAACCAAGAAUAUAUACAUAAGCCAUAUUCAUUCUUCAACUAAAUUCAAGAGCUUACAUAUAUGUGUAUACAUAUAUGUAUAUUCGAACAUUAAUCAUAUAUUUAUAUAUAUACAUAUCAUUUUUACUUUGAUUAAAUUCAAGCUAUAUACUUUCAAUUUGAGCUCAUCCAAAUACAAUAGAUAUAUAUAUGUAUAUAUAUAUAUUAAUUAAUAACAUUAAAUUGCUAGUUGACUUACCUCGGACGGUGAAAAAUCGAAACCGGACGAUUAUUCGACGAUUUUAGCUUUCCCCCGAUCUAACUCCGAUUUCUUUGGUUCUUGAUCUAAAUAUAUCCAGAAUGAGCUAAUUUAAAUAUUAAAACAUUCAAUUUAAUCCAAAAACACAUAAAUAGGAAAAUUACCAUUUUGCCCCUAAUAUUUUACACUUUUUACAAUUUAAUCCCAAUUGCAUAAAACACAAUUUACACAAAAUCUCACAACAACAUAGCUAGGCCAAAUCUUCCUUGUAUUCAUACAAGUCCAUGCAUUUCAUUUAUUUUUCAUUUUAGUCCCUCAAAAAUUUAUUUUUUUUAAUUUAGCCCUAAUUACUCAAAUUUACCAAAAAUUCAAAGACAAAACAUGUUAAUCUAACACAUAUAUUUCAUAAUCCAUCAUCAAACAUCAUAGAACACAAUUAUUCGUUAAUGGCAUAACUCAAAAUAUUCAUCAAAAACAAAAAUUCUAACAUGGGUCGGAUAGUAUUCGAAACAACGAUCUCAAAAAUAUAAAAAUUAUCAAAAACCGAGCUAGAACUCACCUUGAAUCAAGCUCAACAAUGGCCGAAUACCCUAGCUUUGUUUCUUUGUUUUCUUUUGUUUUGUUUCGUGAAGAAGAUGAAGG
rnacentral:lncRNA from 1 species